rfam:Homo sapiens chromosome 15, GRCh38 reference primary assembly.
UAUUAGGUUGGAGCAACAGUAAUUGUGGUUUUUGCCAUUAAAAGUGAUGGCAAAAACCGCAAUUACUGUUGCUCCAACCUAAUA